AAAAGUGAAAGACGGUCUUGCUGUCACUUAUAGAUGGAUCCGCGCUGCAUUAGCUAGUUGGUAAGGUAACGGCUUACCAAGGCAACGAUGCAUAGCCGACCUGAGAGGGUGAUCGGCCACACUGGAACUGAGACACGGUCCAGACUCCUACGGGAGGCAGCAGUAGGGAAUCUUCCGCAAUGGGCGAAAGCCUGACGGAGCAACGCCGCGUGAGUGAUGAAGGUCUUCGGAUCGUAAAACUCUGUUAUUAGGGAAGAACAUAUGUGUAAGUAACUGUGCACAUCUUGACGGUACCUAAUCAGAAAGCCACGGCUAACUACGUGCCAGCAGCCGCGGUAAUACGUAGGUGGCAAGCGUUAUCCGGAAUUAUUGGGCGUAAAGCGCGCGUAGGCGGUUUUUUAAGUCUGAUGUGAAAGCCCACGGCUCAACCGUGGAGGGUCAUUGGAAACUGGAAAACUUGAGUGCAGAAGAGGAAAGUGGAAUUCCAUGUGUAGCGGUGAAAUGCGCAGAGAUAUGGAGGAACACCAGUGGCGAAGGCGACUUUCUGGUCUGUAACUGACGCUGAUGUGCGAAAGCGUGGGGAUCAAACAGGAUUAGAUACCCUGGUAGUCCACGCCGUAAACGAUGAGUGCUAAGUGUUAGGGGGUUUCCGCCCCUUAGUGCUGCAGCUAACGCAUUAAGCACUCCGCCUGGGGAGUACGACCGCAAGGUUGAAACUCAAAGGAAUUGAC
rnacentral:rRNA from 1 species